UUUUUGACUUGUAAUUUUAACCACAUAAAAAAAAGGAAAAUGACAAAAUGACCAAGCUUUGGGCAAUCCGCCCAUAAGAGAAGAAAAUAAAGAAAAUUUGAGUGGUGGGGAACUUGGGAGAAUCCACCCACACCAAGGAAUGGCAAAAUAUGUUUGCCUUGAGAAAACCCACACCUUUGGAAGGAAAAAGAGAGAGAAUCGACUUGGAAGUAAAGAGAGAAAGGAAGAAAGGAGAAAAAAGAGAAAAGAGAAAAGCUUGGUGGAGGUUCACCUUGGAGAAGCUAGAAAAGAACCGAGAGGUUUUCCCUCCCCACCCACAUGCGAUUGUUGAAGUUUAAAGAGAUUUGGUGGUUCAGUUUAGAAAUUCCAAGCUAAGGAAGCAAAAGUCCUCCAAGAAUUGAAAGAAAUAGAUGCAUGCUUGUGGGCCAAUCUUGGAAUAAAUGGUGAUUUUGAGCUAGAUAAGCUAUGGCAAUGGUGACCAUGGGUGUGAGGAAAUUGUGAGCUAUA